rnacentral:lncRNA from 1 species
AAGCCACCAACCAUUUAGCAAAGUUAGGUUAUUAGAAUGAUAGAAUCUUCAAUGAUUUCUAGAACAUAGACAACUAGUAUCCACAACUAACACUAUGAUUUGCAGGUUAGUGGAUGGAUUUUCUAUCCUAAUGACUUAUCUGAUUAAGACUUAAAACCUACAAUAUUAGAACUUGAUGGCUACUAAAUUUAGGCAUAACAGCCUACAGCUUUGUCUCUAUAUAA